rnacentral:RNase_P_RNA from 1 species
AAAGCAAGCCAAGAUGGUUGCCCCGCUUUUUCACAAAAGUGGGGAGGAAAGUCCGAGCUCCGUAGGAUGAUGCAGCCUGUUAAUUCGGGCCGCCCUUGUUUUUUACAGGGGAAGGAUUAGAGCCACAGUGACGAUACCGCGCCUUAGGCGGGGGGUGAAACGAGCAAUCUCUGCAUGGAGCAAGGCCAAAUAGGGGAAGACCGCUUAUUUGCGGAUACGAAACGGUCCGUUUCGUCAUAAUUCCCGGGUAGGCCGCAAGAGUUUAAAGAGCAAUCUUUAAAGUCAGUCGAAUAACCAUCGCCCUUAAGUUUUUACGGGUAACAGAACUCGGCUUAUUGGCUUGCUUUAAAU